rnacentral:rRNA from 1 species
AGUGAACGCUGGCGGUAGGCCUAACACAUGCAAGUCGAACGGCAGCACAGUAAGAGCUUGCUCUUACGGGUGGCGAGUGGCGGACGGGUGAGGAAUACAUCGGAAUCUACUUUUUCGUGGGGGAUAACGGAGGGAAACUUACGCUAAUACCGCAUACGACCUACGGGUGAAAGCAGGGGAUCUUCGGACCUUGCGCGAGUGAAUGAGCCGAUGUCGGAUUAGCUAGUUGGCGGGGUAAAGGCCCACCAAGGCGACGAUCCGUAGCUGGUCUGAGAGGAUGAUCAGCCACACUGGAACUGAGACACGGUCCAGACUCCUACGGGAGGCAGCAGUGGGGAAUAUUGGACCAUGGGCGCAAGCCUGAUCCAGCCAUACCGCGUGGGUGAAGAAGGCCUUCGGGUUGUAAAGCCCUUUUGUUGGGAAAGAAAAGCAGCAGGUUAAUACCCCGCUGUUCUGACGGUACCCAAAGAAUAAGCACCGGCUAACUUCGUG